AACGGAGAGGGCAAGCGUUAUCUAUCAUAACUGGGCGUAAAGUGUCCGUAGACUGUAAAGUAAGUUACUUAUUAAAACUUAAAGCCUAACUUUAAGCCAGUUUGUAAUACUGCUUUACUUGAGUUUUAUACAGAAAAGUAGAAUUUUAUAUGUAAGGUUAAAAUCUUAAUAUAUAUAAAGGAAUACCUGUAGCGAAGGCGACUUUUUGGUAAAAACUGACGUUGAGGGACGAAAGUGUUGGGAGCAAACAGG
rnacentral:rRNA from 1 species